rnacentral:rRNA from 1 species
CUACGGGUGGCUGCAGGCGAGAAAACUUUGCAAUGUGCGAAAGCACGACAAGGUUAAUCCGAGUGGUUUGUGCUAAACGAACCUUUUGACAGUCCUAGAAACACUGUUGAAUAAGGGGUGGGCAAGUUCUGGUGUCAGCCGCCGCGGUAAAACCAGCACCUCAAGUGGUAAGGAUGAUUAUUGGGCCUAAAGCAUCCGUAGCCGGCUCUAUAAGUUUUCGGUUAAAUCUGUACGCUCAACGUACAGGCUGCCGGGAAUACUGCAGAGCUAGGGAGUGGGAGAGGUAGACGGUACUCGGUAGGAAGGGGUAAAAUCCUUUGAUCUAUUGAUGACCACCUGUGGCGAAGGCGGUCUACCAGAACACGUCCGACGGUGAGGGAUGAAAGCUGGGGGAGCAAACCGGAUUAGAUACCCCUGUAGUC